UCUCUGUGUAUUUUAGAGUGUCACGGGCAUGGGAUAAAUUGUGAUGCUCUCUUCAGAGCACAAGUGUGACGAGCACACGCACGACAACUGACGUGGCAAAUGGAUGAAAACGAAGAAAAGAAAUUAGAAAAGCCACACGAAUCAUGUCGGUGAAGUGAGAGGAAAACGACAAAAUAUUGUGAUUUAUUG
ensembl:ncRNA T05E11.10 ncRNA